UUCCCGCUCCGCUUCCGGCAUCUGCGCGCCGUGACGUCAGCACCAGGGGGCGCGGCGGGAAAGGCGGAAGUGGAGCGGCAGCGGGGGUCUGGGGGGGGUCUGAGCGUCGGGCGGGUGUGGGGUGUGCCCUGCAGGAGGCUCUUUGCGUUCCAUCCCGCCGCCUUUAAGCGCGAACUGUGGCGUGGAGUUAAGUAAAUGCCCUGUGCUUGGGCCUUUCCGCAUAUUCUUCCACGCUACAGAUAUAGGGCCACAGAAUAUCUCGAGUUGAAAGGGACCCUCAGGGAUCAUGGAUAACCACUAGGCAUUUCCAGCACCCUUGGUGUGGCUAAGCCAGGUACCCCUCUCUACCUUGCUACCCCAGGCCUAUUAGGUUAGAUAUUAGGGUGAAGUUUCUCACAAAGAGGGUGGUGACACACGGGAACAGGCUGCCCAAGGAGGUUGUGGAUGCCCCAUCCCUGGAGGCAUUCAAGGCCAGGCUGGAUGUGGCUUUGGGCAGCCUGGUUUAGUGGUUGGUGACCCUGCACAUAGCAGGGGGUUGAAACUCCAUGAUCGUUGUGGUCCUUUUCAACCCGGGCCAUUCUGUGAUUCAGGCUGAGAGAGCUGGGGUUGUUCAGGCUGGAGAAAGCUCCAGGGAGACCUGAGAGCAGCCUUUCAGCGCUGAAAUGGGGACUGCAAGAAGGAAGGGGACAGGCUCUUUGGCAGGGUCUGCUGGGAUAGGACAAGGAUGUCAGUGGUUUGGGGUCAGUUCAGCCUGGUUCUGUGACUAAAUGGGGAAGGGGAACCCAUGGAUCCACAUCCCAGGAGAGGGGGGAAAAGGUAAAAGGUAGGGAGAUUGUUCUAAGAGCAAAACAGUGGCAGUGAGCUGAGGGAGAAGACUAAUUUACUAAAUAUGAUAUUGAAAUGAAAAUUAACACAAUAUAAUACAAUAUAGUUGGAAUUGAAGCUAGUAAAUCAGAUAAAAUGAGUCUCCAAAACUGAAGGCCUUACGCUAAUGCUGAAGGUGAGACAGCUAGGGAGCACACACCUCAGAGAUGAGCAGUAAAAGAAUGGGGCAAUGUUGUGACUCGUGGGCAGUUUUAUCUUUCACGCUAAACAGAAAACAGAAACAGAACAGCAAGUCUUGAGUGAGAUGUAGUUCUUCUUUUCUUCUGAGAAAUGUAUACCCGAAACUAUCAACAGUCUACAGAACUGCAGUAUGACCUCCCAGUGUAGUACAUGAUGUUAUGUGAAGUGCUGAUAACAAAAACAAAAACAAAAACAAAAAAAAUCAUAAAACCAUGACUAAGGAGAAGUGAUUUCAAACUAAAAGAGAGAUUAUUUAUAUUGUAUGUAAGGAAGAAGGUUUUUACAGUCAAGGUGGUGAGAGAUUGGCACAGGUUACCCAGAGAGCUGGUGGAAAUCCCAUUGCUGGACAUACUCAAGGCCAGACUGGAUGGGGCUCUGAGCACCUGAUGGAGCUUUAGGUGUUCAAUGCAGGGGAAUUGGACUAGAUGACCUUUAAUGGUCUCUUCCUACUCAAAUGAUUCUAUGAUACUGUGAUUCUAUAAUACAGUAUGAAAUAUUCCUUCUGCCAUCUAAUGGAGUCACCAGUCUUGGAGAUGGUCUUGCCACCAAAAUCCAGGAAUGAAACUUGCCAACCUGAAGGACAGCUGUUUUAAAACUCCAGCUGGUACAAAGACACCGAAACGUAAAGCAAGAUAGGACAAGAAAUUUGGAAUGACAGAAGUGACCACCUACUGACACACGCACUGCGAAAAUCACAGCAUACUGUUUGAAAACAAGCAGUGUCUUUGCAGAGGAGGCCUCACCACCAGCAGCUUCAGCCCAGCUCCUGUCAAGACUACAGAUCUGGAAAAGAUACCAUUUUGUAAUAUGAAAAAUUGAACUUUUUUUUGUCAGCAACAGCUGCUAUUUCUGAGGUUCAGGAAAAAAUAAAUCUAGUUGUUGCAUUUAAGAAUAGGAAGUUUUUUUUCUUUUUUUCUGGGGAAAAGUUAUUCUAUAUGAUAAUUCCUCCUGAAACUAAGUCCAAGAGAAAAGAAGAAAAAAAUAUCUCUUUGUAAUACGCUUUUUAUUUUCUAUUCAUUCAUUCUUAAGGUCUGAAAUUGAUGGAAUGGGCUUUUUGUGUACCAUAUAUAAUACACAAAUAAAGAAAAAUAAAAAUAUGUUAAUUUUCCUCAGAAAUACGAGGCGUUAUCUUUUGAGAAACACUUUUCACAAGAAUUAAAUUAGAAACUUGACAAAAAUACUGUGACAUACUGAAAACUCAUGAAAAAAAAACAUUGUUCUUGAGUGCUCUGCAAGGCUGAAAACAUCUCUUCCUUUUGGCCAGAAAGUUCUCUUUCUUUAAGUGUAAAUUCUUAUUCUGCUUGUUGUUUACACCCUGAAUCUGUUUCUAUGUCUUAUUCCUGGAUAAAUUAUUUUGGUUCCUGCUAUUGUGCCAGAAGUAUGAUACACAAAUACUCUCAAAUUUGUCUUCAGCAGUUUUUGUGAAAACUCAAACAUACAUAAAUCUGUCGUGACAUUCACUCUUAUUCUUCAUUAUAUGUUCUCGAGAGUUGUUACAGUCUGUUAUGUCUUUCUUCACUUACUGCUUUUGCAUUUGCUAUAACGAUUAAGGAUAUGUGAUCUAUAUUUCAAGUUCCCACUCCUAGUUCUUUGGUCCCAUACAUAGUUGUUCAAAAAACUGCCAGGCUGAUAUGAAAGCUUUUGGUGGAAUGAAACAAAGACUUAAAGCAAGUCUCUUGAAAGCACUUUGUGUUCUGAUAUUUACUCUGUAGAUAUAUGGGCUUGUGGUUUAAAGCUUGCAAAGUUAUUUCACUGUUGUUACAUGUGCAAACAAUUUAAUUGUACUUUGAAUACUGAAAUAUUACAUCUCAAUAUAUGAUUGCAUGAUUUAUUUUUGCAAGGUGCUUAGCUUGCCUAUAAUUUUUCUGCUCCAAACUAUCAAUCCUGUUACUCCACAAAUGGUUUUAAAAUAAAUUAUGCAUGUCAGAGCAGAUGACUGCUC